rnacentral:rRNA from 1 species
AACGAACGCUGGCGGCAUGCCUAACACAUGCAAGUCGAACGAGACCUUCGGGUCUAGUGGCGCACGGGUGCGUAACGCGUGGGAAUCUGCCCUUGGGUUCGGAAUAACAGUUGGAAACGACUGCUAAUACCGGAUGAUGACGUAAGUCCAAAGAUUUAUCGCCCAGGGAUGAGCCCGCGUAGGAUUAGCUAGUUGGUGGGGUAAAGGCCUACCAAGGCGACGAUCCUUAGCUGGUCUGAGAGGAUGAUCAGCCACACUGGGACUGAGACACGGCCCAGACUCCUACGGGAGGCAGCAGUGGGGAAUAUUGGACAAUGGGCGGAAGCCUGAUCCAGCAAUGCCGCGUGAGUGAUGAAGGCCUUAGGGUUGUAAAGCUCUUUUACCCGGGAUGAUAAUGACAGUACCGGGAGAAUAAGCCCCGGCUAACUCCGUG